ACUCCUACGGGAGGCAGCAGUGGGGAAUUUUGCACAAUGGGGGAAACCCUGAUGCAGCAACGCCGCGUGAGGGAUGAAGUCCUUAGGGAUGUAAAGCUCUUCGUCCGGGACGAUAAUGACGUACCGGAGAGA
rnacentral:rRNA from 1 species